GUCAGGAUGGCUGAGUGGUCUAAGGCACCAAACUCAAGUUUUAGUCCUCGUGAGAGGGUGUGGGUUCAAAUCCCACUUCUGACA
rfam:Ipomoea nil DNA, scaffold: scaffold2942, cultivar: Tokyo-kokei standard.